CUUGUUAGUUCAGUUGGUUAGACUGUGGUGCUGAUAACGACAAGGCUGCAGGUUCGAUCCAUGUAUGCAAGA